rnacentral:antisense_RNA from 1 species
CUUGAUCGAGCCCAGCCACAGCGGGCGGUCGUCGGUGUGCUCGCGGCCGUAGGUGGCGAGCAGCGCCUGUGCCUC